AGGCUGUGAUGAGGACACCUCCACAAGAGGUCCUUGAACCUCUCCCAUAUUUAAAAAAUGAUUCUUCAUCCAUCUAAGUGAAUGAAGCGAUUUCUUGCCGUAGCUU